AGUGAACGCUGGCGGUAGGCCUAACACAUGCAAGUCGAACGGCAGCACAGUAAGAGCUUGCUCUUACGGGUGGCGAGUGGCGGACGGGUGAGGAAUACAUCGGAAUCUACUUUUUCGUGGGGGAUAACGUAGGGAAACUUACGCUAAUACCGCAUACGACCUACGGGUGAAAGCAGGGGAUCUUCGGACCUUGCGCGAUUGAAUGAGCCGAUGUCGGAUUAGCUAGUUGGCGGGGGUAAAGGCCCACCAAGGCGACGAUCCGUAGCUGGUCUGAGAGGAUGAUCAGCCACACUGGAACUGAGACACGGUCCAGACUCCUACGGGAGGCAGCAGUGGGGAAUAUUGGACAAUGGGCGCAAGCCUGAUCCAGCCAUACCGCGUGGGUGAAGAAGGCCUUCGGGUUGUAAAGCCCUUUUGUUGGGAAAGAAAGGCAGCAGGUUAAUACCCCGCUGUUCUGACGGUACCCAAAGAAUAAGCACCGGCUAACUUCGUG
rnacentral:rRNA from 1 species